rnacentral:rRNA from 1 species
GAUGAACGCUGGCGGCAUGCCUUACACAUGCAAGUCGAACGGCAGCACGGGUGCUUGCACCUGGUGGCGAGUGGCGAACGGGUGAGUAAUACAUCGGAACGUACCUUAUCGUGGGGGAUAACGCAGCGAAAGUUGCGCUAAUACCGCAUACGCCCUGAGGGGGAAAGCGGGGGACCGUAAGGCCUCGCGCGAUUAGAGCGGCCGAUGUCUGAUUAGCUUGUUGGUGAGGUAAAAGCUCACCAAGGCGAUGAUCAGUAGCUGGUCUGAGAGGACGAUCAGCCACACUGGGACUGAGACACGGCCCAGACUCCUACGGGAGGCAGCAGU